UGAAAACAGUUUUAAAAUAGGCCAUUCAUUGAAGGUGUGCCUUAUACUCCGAAGCGCCUUAUAGUGCGGAAAAUAUGGUACCUUCAAAUUAAGAAUUGGAGGUGAAUCAGUUCCAGCGAGUGCAUGUGAGAACCACAUUGAAAAUGUGUGCAAUGAAUUAACAUUGACAUUUCAGAAUAUUGAAUCACACUCACUUUUAAAAUCUAAAACUAAGAAAUCCCGACCGGAAAAAUCUCUACCCUGAGCUGAGUUUUUCAUAAUGAAUGACUUGAAUAUGCAAAGACUUUUUUAAAAAAAUCAAACAUAACGUGUGAAAUAUCUAUAAAACGGAAUUAUCAAAAUUUGUAUGAACCUCACCAAAAGGGAUUGAAUUAUUUAUUUAGUUAUGAAUAGCUCAAACUGUUUAUUGUAUAUAUACAGCACAAUUGUAAUAUAUGAAUAUAUAAUUUAAUUAGCAUUUUAAAAUCUCCUUGAAUAUGAUGGCUGAAAUAAAAUUUCUUCUUCAAGCGUCAUGUUCUUAAAGGCUCUCCAGUUCAUCCAGCCUUGUCAGAUUAGCCCCCUCUGCUGGUUAUGUUUGCUCACUGCACCACAUGGCACCACUGCAAGUGGACUGUAACAGAGCAAAUAAAUCUUUCAUUUGAAUGUUGCGCUUUUCGGACGUAUUUUUUUCAACAAUAUAGAGUUCGCAAUAACUGUCGUUCUCAGUUUAAGUAGUGGCUGAAGGAAAAAAAAAGUGGUGACAAUAUACACAAUAAAGAUUGUGAAACUGUGCGGAACACAGACAUACGGUUGUGUCAUAUGACUAUUUUUCCCUCCACCGUAUUCUAUCGCUAUUAGUUCCGACUAUAUAUACAAUCUCUUUUUGCUGUGCCCUUUCAUCCUUAUUAUGUACGCAUUUGUUGCCAAUUGCAAAGUGCAUUGACAAUACGUUGCCAUUUAUGUCGCUGCUCUUGUCGAAGAUUGCGCCAUAAAGAUUGCUGCACAACAGGGCCGUUUGUUGUCCGUUCCUUUAUUUUUUAAAAGCCAUUUGAGAGUGCCGUGUAUGGCUGCAUUGCACCCGCGAUGCCUGAAUGUGACGGAAUGUGUCCAUCCGUGCUGUUCUCCACCUCUCCUGUUCCGCUGAAUUCAGACAUGCUGCAUUGCUAGUGAUUUGUCUGCCACCGGCAACAGCACCUUAUGCAACUUUAAUACAUUUCGCAUGAGUUACAAGCUCAUUUGACCGUAUCCUAACAAAAAAUGAUUCAUUAUUUUCUCCCUCCCGUUGUCCAACCACCUCCAAACUAAUUUGAAGUGAAAAGUCUGCGUAGAUGGUGACAUGAGGGCAUUGAAACUUCUUAAUGAGAGACUUAGCACACUACAUGUAGCUUACUGUAUGUUUGUUUGAAUUGACAUAAAUGCCAUUAUCAGUCGCAAAAUAGGGAUGCCGGCUAUAUUGCAAUACUAAUUUGCUUUUUGAUUCAAUAAAGAUCUGCUGUUUGUUUCUCUUUGGACUCAUUCCACAUACACAUUUAUUACAACGCUUUGCCUCGCCGUAGCGGAACGUAAGACACUCUCAAUUAAAUACAGUUUUAAUGAGGCGUGUCUGUGAUCUUAAUUGCUUGAAUGACCAAAUUUAAACGAGACGUAUGAAAGCAUCAUGCAUGCAUAUUAUAGCUGGCAAAGUUGUGACGGAAUGGAGCUCCCUUUUUUUCACAUCACUGAAAAAUUAAUAGACCUUAUCAACUGGCACCACGAGCCGGGAAUAAUUGAUGUCAGUGUAUAGGCGUGCGCAAGCUAUGCUUUUUUUCCUCAGAAACAAAUAACGGAUUCAUUCCAAACUGUCAGUAAGCCAAUGAGAUUCUCCCUCCUGCCUCAUGAAGAUGCUUACAGGGAGAAUAUACAAGUCAGUACAACAUGUCUGUACUCAGAACAUAUUCACACACAUACACACUUACACACACACACACACACACACACUGCAGCUCAUUAAGCAGAGAAGCUGCGGUAUCAAGGAUCCUCCAGUGCCCAUCGCAACUUCAGUUGCUAGAAAAGACCUGAAUGGGAUACUUCACAAUUCCUAUUAAUUAUGCAUCAAUUGCAAUGUUACGGGCAUUCCUAUACUGCGCUUAGUGCUUUGUUUUGUUUUGGGGCUUUUCUGCUGAUAGUCUGAGAACAUGGGGGGAAAAUAAUAAAUGAUACGGAAACAAAAGGUGGGGGAUCUGCUGCUGUGCCAAAUUCAUCAGCGCUAAAGAUUAGUUGCCUGCUGAGACUUUCCUGGCAGAUUUCUCUUCCUUUCUCGUUUUUUUUUUUUUUACAAGAUUGGUGACUCAGUGUGCACUACAACCCUACGAAAUCAUCCACAAGUUGUGCAGAGGGAAAACAAAACAUCAUCAGGAACCCCGACAACAACAACAAAACAGCAUUCGCUACAUGAGCAGAUACUGCUUCUUGCUACCAUGUGUGGAAAACGAGAAGGAAAUCCAGCAGAAGCAAUGGAAAGAAGGGGAGAUUAUGCUGCUUUCUCAAGGACCCGUUGGAGGACGUCGACGCUUGGAGCGAGUCGGUGGACAAUGUCCUCACUUGUAAAA